rnacentral:rRNA from 1 species
CUUGAAGACUACAAGCUUGAUAGGUUGGAUGUGUAAGUGCAGUAAUGCAUUUAGCUGACCAAUACUAAUAGUACGUUUGUCUUUUUUUA